rnacentral:rRNA from 2 species
GAAUGCUGACAUAAGUAACGAUAAAGCGGGUGAAAAGCCCGCUCGCCGGAAGACCAAGGGUUCCUGUCCAACGUUAAUCGGGGCAGGGUGAGUCGACCCCUAAGGCGAGGCCGAAAGGCGUAGUCGAUGGGAAACGGGUUAAUAUUCCCGUACUUGGUGUUACUGCGAAGGGGGGACGGAGAAGGCUAUGUUGGCCGGGCGACGGUUGUCCCGGUUUAAGCGUGUAGGUGUGUGUUCCAGGUAAAUCCGGUUCACUUUAACACUGAGGCGUGACGACGAGGCACUACGGUGCUGAAGCAACAAAUGCCCUGCUUCCAGGAAAAGCCUCUAAGCAUCAGGUAACACGAAAUC